AGAGUUUGAUCCUGGCUCAGGAUGAACGCUGGCGGCGUGCCUAAGACAUGCAAGUCGUGCGGUAACAGGCCCUUCGGGGUGCUGACGAGCGGCGGACGGCUGAGUAACGCGUGGGAAUCUACCCCAAAGUGAGGGAUAACUGCCCGAAAGGGUGGCUAAUACCGCAUGUGAUCUUCGGAUUAAAGCUAUUAGCGCUUUGGGAAGAGCCCGCGUCAGAUUAGUUAGUUGGUGAGGUAAUGGCUCACCAAGACGAUGAUCUGUAACUGGUUUGAGAGGAUGAUCAGUCAGACUGGAACUGAGAUACGGUCCAGACUCCUACGGGAGGCAGCAGUUAGGAAUAUUCCACAAUGGGCGAAAGCCUGAUGGAGCAACGCCGCGUGGAGGAUGAAGGCCUUAGGGUCGUAAACUUCUUUUCUAUGCGAAGAAUAUGACGGUAACAUAGGAAUAAGGGUCUGCUAACUACGUGCCAGCAGCCGCGGUCAUACGUAGGACCCAAGCGUUAUCCGGAUUGACUGGGCGUAAAGAGUUGCGUAGGUGGUUUAUUAAGCGAAUAGUGAAAUCUUGUGGCUCAACCAUAAGGCUAUUAUUUGAACUGGUAGACUCGAGAGUAGGAGAGGCAUCUGGAAUUUUUAGUGUAGGGGUAAAAUCCGUAGAUACUAGAAGGAACACCAAUGGCGUAGGCAGGAUGCUGGCCUAUUUCUGACACUGAGGCACGAAAGCGUGGGGAGCGAACCGGAUUAGAUACCCUGGUAGUCC
rnacentral:rRNA from 1 species